GGCAUGUCGUGUGGCCCGAGA
rnacentral:miRNA from 1 species